rnacentral:rRNA from 1 species
AAUCUUCCACAAUGGACGAAAGUCUGAUGGAGCAACGCCGCGUGAGUGAAGAAGGUUUUCGGAUCGUAAAACUCUGUUGUAAGGGAAGAACAAGUACAGUAGUAACUGGCUGUACCUUGACGGUACCUUAUUAGAAAGCCACGGCUAACUAAGUGCCAGCAGCCGCGGUAAUACGUAUGUGGCAAGCGGUGUCCGGAAGUAUUUGGCGUAAAGCGCGGGCAGGCGGUCCUUUAAGUCUGAUGUGAAAGCCCACGGCUCAACCGUGGAGGGUCAUUGGAAACUGGAGGACUUGAGUGCAGAAGAGGAAAGUGGAAUUCCAAGUGUAGCGGUGAAAUGCGUAGAGAUUUGGAGGAACACCAGUGGCGAAGGCGACUUUCUGGUCUGUAACUGACGCUGAGGCGCGAAAGCGUGGGGAGCAAACAGG